CAAACCAGCGGGCUCGGAGUGGGAUGGCACCGAUUGUUUUAGGAAAACGGCAGACAAACCAGACAUGGGGGGAAUCGCCAGCUUCGAUAGGGCCAAGCUGAAGAAAACGGAGACGCAGGAGAAGAACACCCUGCCGACCAAAGAGACCACUGGGCAGAAGCGGAGUGGAAUUUCCUAA